rnacentral:rRNA from 1 species
UACGAAGGGAGCUAGCGUUAUUCGGAAUGAUUGGGCGUAAAGGACACGUAGGCGGUUAUGUAAGUUUUGGGUGAAAUCCCCGGGCUCAACCCGGGAACUGCUCAAGAUACUGCAUAACUUGAGUAUGGGGGAGGAUAGUGGAAUCUUUGGUGUAGAGGUAAAAUUCUUAGAUAUCAGAGAGAACGUCGGAGGCGAAAGCGACUAUCUAAAACAUUACUGACGCUGAGGUGUGAAGGCGUGGGGAGCAAAUCGG